rnacentral:lncRNA from 10 species
CUAAGAUCAGAGCAGAACUGAAGGAGAUAGAGACACAUGUCUCUUCUUUUAAAUGUACUGAUCCCAUUGAUGACGUAAGCUCUCUGUGUCUCUUCUUCAAAAGGCACUAAUCCCAUUCAUUAGGGCCCUGACCUAAUCACUUCUCAAAGCUCCCAUCUCCAAACACCAUUGCAUUAGGGAUUAGGCUUCAACAUAUAAAUUUUGGAGGGACACAAACAUUCAGUCCAUGUCAUUUGGUAUUAUUUUGCAAUAAGAGGUCUCAGUCAUUUAGCUGUAGAGAUGUUUACCUAUACGUCUAGUUUCAGGGGAUACAGUUCUAAUCUCAACUAAAAAAUUAUAAAUUAAAGAAUAGGGAAUUUGCUGGCCUCUUUCUGGCCUUGUCCUUAGGCAAGGAAAAUGGGGACAUAGGAGUAGGCUUGGACAACAGGGGAACAUAUACCUCCAGGUCUUUUCAAAAUGUCUGCAAUGGAUCUCUCUCUAUUUCCCCAAUGUGAAGAUUCCUCCACUUUGAGGUUGGAAUUCUUAUGUACCAUGGACAAAGUAACUUUUCAAGAUUAUAUAAGGAAAGUUACAUCUCCAAUACUGAAAGCCAUUACUCUUCUGUGCUGAGAUUAAUGCUUUUACCAGGAGAAAAAUAAUGGGCAACAGAAACCCAGAAAAAUGUAUCAGAUUUGGUGAUUUGGGAAGCAGUCUGAUUGAAGAUGACAUACACCAAGAGAGACCCCAAACUGAAUCGAUAAGCAGUUUACCAAAGGAGCUGCGUUAUCAGAAAUUCCAAAAUAAUAAAACAAAAUAUUGCAAUUCAUGUAGCUAACCAAUUUGGAAGUGAAUCUUCAAGUACCAGUCAGAAGUAGAUUGUUGUGAUGAUAAUGUCUCUACUCUUACACCCUUGCGGAAAUUCUUCUUCAUUACUUUUCUUAGUGUAACAUUUAAUCAUACCUGACAAGUAAAACUCUUGCAGCAUCAAAGACACCAGGAUAAACUGAAAGCUCAGUGAAGGCAGAUGUUUGUCUAAUUUUGUUCACUGAAAAAUACUCAAUGCCUAGAACAGUUUUCAGAAUACAGAAGAUGCUAAAUACCUGAUUACUGAAUGAACAAAUGAAGAAUAGAACGCACAAGCAGGUGCCAAGAAACAGUCCAUUUCCAAAGAACUGAGUUCCUAAGCUGAUUCCAAGGACAUUCUUUGGUCCUUUUACUCACCUAACAAAUCCUUACCCUCUAGGAUUCACAAAAUGCUAUAGGAUAUACCAAUAUAUUUUGGGAAUAUCUUUUCUUCAUUGCCUCUUUCUAAAUAUGGGUGUUUUUUAGUUGUCUUCUUUUUUCUUCCAUUUUGUAUGUCUUUUUCUUUUUUGCUGUCAUUUUAAGAUCACAGGCAGUAUUUCAUUCCCUCAUGUGUGAAUACAGCUUCAAAGACCCUCUCAAUCUCCUUAUUUUGACUGAGUCUGUUUCUAUAGGACAUCAGAUUCCAUUUUUUGGAAGAAUAUACGAAGUUCAAUAGACUCAUCAUGUACUAAGCAAUUAUUGGGCCAUGUAUUCAAAACAAUGAUGCAUUAGCUUUGAAAACACUUACAUGGAUUAGAAUAAAGUUGUGGCUUCCACAAUCAACAGUAAUUCCUAUAAUUUUAAAAAAUUCUAAAUAUACAUUAGUCAGUACAACACAAUAAUAAUGAACAAUUCAGUAAACUAAAAUAUUGUUUGUAAAUAUUUAAUGCACAUAUGCAUCACAAAGGUAGUAAAUUUGAACAACUACAUAAGGAGUAUGACAAAAUAUACAGGUAUAACAACUAUUAAUUUCUGUUUAUAUAAAUUUACUCUAUACAAUUUUCAAUGAAAUAUAUACUGUAGUAAUUUAUCUUUACAUCUCGAUUUAACAUGAAAAAUUUUAUAAAAUAUUGUGUCAUUCAGCCACUAAUGACUUUAGAAUAACCCCUUUAAAAAUAUUUUCUUCAUGGUUUUCAUACACAAAUUUGUAAGGUCAGUAUGGUCACAAGAAAACAUUUGCUAACAACGUCAAAAUUAAUCAUAAACAGGAGAAUAGAGUUUCCUUUGUAGAUGAUUUUCUGUAUUAUCCUACUUGUAAAGGAGCCAUAAAAGAAAACUGCUCACUAAUUGUACAUUAAGAAAUUAUCCCCUGAGUCCUCGUUAAUUUCUUCUUGACAGGUUCAGUCACAGUUCCCAUAAGAUGUCAGAAAAGGUAAGUCAAAAAUGAGAAAAUGUCAGUUGUGUUCUCAUAAAUUUCUUUUCAAUCAACUCUUUCGUAAAUACCUCACUAACUCUAUCUCAUCUUCAACAUUAAAAGGAAAAUAAAUGUGCUGUGUUGCGCUGUAAGCUUGGCUUAUGAAAAUAAAUUCUCACUUAAGAGAGCUUUGUUUGUGUCAUCUACACAGAAGGGACUAAGUGAUCAAAAUUUUGAGCAGGAAUACAUGGAUAAAAAGUACUAAUGAAUACCAGGUGGAUAAAAAGCACUAAUGAAUACCAGGUGUUUGAUGAGAUUCAUUUUUUUUUCUUAAAUUACGCAAGUGUCAAUAUACUGCCUACGGAAAAAAAUGCUUUAAUAACAGAACUAUUCUACUCAGCAUGGAAGUAACACACUAACUAAUUUUCUAUAAUGACUAGCCCACUGGGACAGAACGAUUUAUAGUCAGGAGAAACCAGUAUAACAAAAGAAUAAAUUUGGUUUGUCUGAAUUGGACUUACUACUGCUUUUAGAAUUUUUCUUCUAAUCUUUGCAAAUGAGAUCUAUAUAUCAAUCGAUCAAUCUGUUUAUCCUUCUAUUUGAUAUAUUUCUAUUGCGCUAAUAUAUCUUGCUUUCUUCUUUUUGAGGUAUUCAUUAUCAUCAUUAUUUAACACUCUGAAAUUACUUUGAAUGUUAUAAUGUACAGAAUAAAAGUAAUAUAGGAGAUAAAGUAUGGGGAAAAACAAACACCUACAGUAAUUUGAAAGUGUGGAAUGUAAACAUUUAUAAGGUGGCACCAGAUUAGUUGUUCUAAAAGAAAAUAAUUUUGCAUAAAGUGUUGUGUGAGCAUUGCUAAUCGCCUCCUAUUUCUUUUGCUCAGUUAAGACAGUUGAAGCAGGGAAUAUCAUGGGGAGCGUAUGAGGUGAAAAAAUGCAAUGCACUUUACACUAAAACUAUGCUGAAAUUUUUCAGAAAGUUAACUGUAGAACAGCCUCAAGCAAGUCCUUCAAGAGGUUCCAGAGGAAGAUAUUGUUAUCAUAGACGAUGACAGCUCCAUACAUGCUAUUGCCCCUGAAGUGGGCAAUUGAACCUUCCAGUGUGACAAGAGGUGGCAGUGGAAGACAGUGCUAUUGAGGAUCCUGACCCUACGCAGGCCUAGGCUAAUGGGUGUGUUUGUAUUUUACUUCUUAACAGAAAAGUUAAAAAAAUUUAAAAUAGAAGAAAGCUUAUAGACUGAAGAUAUAAAGAAAUAAAACAUUUUUGCACAGCUGAACAAUGUGUUUGUCUUUUAAGCUAAGUGUUAGUACAAAGGAGCAAAAAACGUUA